UCUCAUGACGCACAAAAUUAAUAAUCACCUGCAUUUCCGGUCACGUUGUCAAACAGUAAAGAGCCGUAGCCUUUCAUUUCGUUUCUUCAAUUAAAAUAAAGAAUAAACUGCGAUGGCUCAACGUCAGCAACCUUCCACUUCGGUAAAACACCAAAACUUUGUUAAAGAGCCAAUGGGUAAUAAGCCAGUGGACCAUUUGCCCGGUAUCGGCCAGGUGACCAGUGCCCGAAUGAAUGAGAGAAACAUUACACAGGCGUCUCAAGUUUACGGAAAGUAUCUGGUCGAAAAUCGAAAUCAUGCCGCAUUUGAAAAUUGGAUGAAAAAUGAUUUUAAUGUUAGCAGCAAACGAGCGGGGCAAUGUUUGAAUGCGGUGGAUAGUUAUUAUAAGCAGUUCAAUUAAUAUGUUAAUCUUUUGCUAUAUGAAUUUUCAAUAGUGAUUUUGUACUUUCUUAUAGUCACUUAGUUUCGUUAUAUACUCCAUUAGAAUUAUUGUCGAUUUACGGAUCUUUGUGUGUAAGCUUUACACUGAAAGAUCCAUUAUUUAAGAGUAUAGGAGAGUAGACUCUUCGUACAUCAAUUUUUGUAUUGGCUGCUAUACCAAUUUCCACUCUAUUCGCUGUAUACACAAAUGAAUUGCUGUAGCACCAAUGGGCUAAAUAAGAAGUUCAAAUUUUAGAUGAAAACUAUGGACACCUGCUGUAUACUGGCCAUCGCCUUCUAAGAUACAAAAAAGAAUUUGAAGUAUCUUUGAUUGUUAAGGGGGUAGGUACUCAUCUGGUAUUCAGUUACCUAACGUUUGCAUUUGGUUUGUAGGUACUGUAAACUAAUUCAAUCAUAUUGACAUAGCACUCCUAAACUUUUAUAAAAAUGAUCAUACUAAAUUGUCAGUAUUUGUACUUCAAUUGCACCUGUAAAAUGUAUAUUUAAGCAUACACCAAAGGUUUCAAGUUUUUCAUUACUUCAUCUCCAGAUUUUUGGGACUGUCCCUGACCGAUUUUAUAAUACGCGAAGUGCCAACAGCUAUAAUUCCUUGGUGGGCGGAUGAGCAGACAGUCGAGGGAGGGCUACCCUGUCCAUUACGCCCUGAGGGUGAAAAAAUUGUCCCCAAAGGCUGAGGAGUAUAAAAGGCCAACGGGAUUAUAGGAAUGGGGAAGACACGGUGCCCCUGCGGAUAUGCAUGCACUCCAUUCAAGA